GACGAACGCUGGCGGCGUGCUUAACACAUGCAAGUCGAACGGAAAGGCCCUAUUUUUGUGGGGUGCUCGAGUGGCGAACGGGUGAGUAACACGUGAGUAACCUGCCCUUGACUUUGGGAUAACUUCAGGAAACUGGGGCUAAUACCGGAUAGGAGCUCCUGCUGCAUGGUGGGGGUUGGAAAGUUUCGGCGGUUGGGGAUGGACUCGCGGCUUAUCAGCUUGUUGGUGGGGUAGUGGCUUACCAAGGCUUUGACGGGUAGCCGGCCUGCGAGGGUGACCGGCCACAUUGGAACUGAAAUGCGGCCCAGACUCCUACGGGAGGCAGCAGUGGGGAAUAGUGCACAAUGGGCGGAAGCCUGGUGCAGCAACGCCGCGUGCGGGAUGACGGCCUUCGGGUUGUGUUCCGCUUUCGCCUGUGACGAAGCGUGAGUGACGGUAAUGGGUAAAGAAGCACCGGCUAACUACGUG
rnacentral:rRNA from 1 species